AUAAACGCUGGCGGCGUGCCUUACGCAUGCAAGUCGAACGGACGUCAGGGUUUCGGCCUUGGCGUUAGUGGCGGACGGGUGAGUAACACGUAUGCAACCUGUCCAGAAGCGGGGAAUAACCCUUCGAAAGGAGGGCUAAUACCGCGUAUGGUCGCCGGUGAAAGACCGGUGGACAAAAGCCUUCGGGCGCUUCUGGAGGGGCGUGCGGCCGAUUAGCUAGUUGGUGGGGUAACGGCUCACCAAGGCGACGAUCGGUAGCUGGUCUGAGAGGACGGCCAGCCACACGGGGACUGAGACACGGCCCCGACUCCUACGGGAGGCAGCAGCGAGGAAUUUUGCGCAAUGGGCGAAAGCCUGACGCAGCAACGCCGCGUGGGGGAUGAAGGCCUUCGGGUCGUAAACCCCUUUUGCAGGGGAAGUAACUGACGGUACCCUGCGAAUAAGCCACGGCUAACUACGU
rnacentral:rRNA from 1 species